UACGUAGGGUGCGAGCGAUAAUCGGAAUUACUGGGCGUAAAGCGUGCGCAGGCGGUGAUGUAAGACAGGUGUGAAAUCCCCGGGCUUAACCUGGGAACUGCAUUUGUGACUGCAUCGCUGGAGUGCGGCAGAGGGGGAUGGAAUUCCGCGUGUAGCAGUGAAAUGCGUAGAUAUGCGGAGGAACACCGAUGGCGAAGGCAAUCCCCUGGGCCUGCACUGACGCUCAUGCACGAAAGCGUGGGGAGCAAACAGG
rnacentral:rRNA from 1 species